AAGCUUGCCGAGUGGAUAUAGUUAAAUAAUUGGUAAAGUUGACUAGAGAGCUUCAAAAUGGUAUUAAGAGUAAGGAGUUGGGGGAAGCAAUGAUAAAAAGGUCAAGGCAUCAGGUUUCCAGAGUCAAGCAAGCAAAUGAUUAGAAAGUCCAGCCACUAUCAUUAUAAGGAAGGGGAUAAAAAUUAAGGUACAAUUUCAGAUAAGAUCACAGAAAAAGAUUCAGGAAUCUGAAACCCGGAUGUUAAGGCCUCUUUAGUUGGGUUUAUCUGCUAAGGCCUCUUUAGUUGGGUUUAUCUGCUAAUAACAUCACCUUCAGUUAACCUUUUCAUUUUGGGCACUAUUCAGUUACCUUUUCUUUU
rnacentral:lncRNA from 1 species